rnacentral:lncRNA from 10 species
AGUCCAAAUAAAUCCACUGUACAAGGAGACAGGCACAUCCUGCAGUUAACGCAAAGCUCUAGGCCUCCUUGGGCCCUCCCAGGCAAGCAGACAGAAAGCAGAAGAAGGCAAUACCACCUGUCCAUUUUAUCAGCUCUUAGGAAUGUCUCACAGUCCAGCUGUGAGCUGCUUAAGGGACAAAAUUUUGCAAGUAACAGAGCAAAUAUAAAUUCCAGGACAGUCAGCUGUAAGAACCUAUUUUAGAGGUGUGAAAGUUCUUACGACGCCUCGCAAUCUAAGUCUGUGCUUGAAAAUUGCCCAUGACGAUGAAGCGCCACGCAGUUCUGCAGAGAUAGUGAUUUCUUCUUUAGCUGCUCUGAUUAUCAGGAGAAGCAACGUAGCUCUGUAUUUAAUUUAAAAUCCACAUAUACCAGUACAGUCAAGACAAAGUUUUCCAUUACCAAUUUUGAAAGUUGCUUAAACUAAUUGAUGAGUGAGGUAACCCCACAUAAGGGGGAAAAUCAGAUACUUAUGUCAUUUGCAAGAAUUAUUUUUACUUUUGCUGAAAUGUUGUAACUCAAGUUUCAGUCUUCGGGGGCAUAGUCCAGUGGUGUGUUCCGCUACCUAGUAAAAUUCUACUUGAAGACAGUGCUAGUUUUUGGUGGGUCAAUUCAAUGGCAACUGUAUUUGAGACAAUAAAAGAGAAAUGAAACUGCA